GGGCUGCAAUAGCGCCGGUACAACAAUUGAAAACAUUGAAAUACAAGUUUGUUCUAAUUUAAUGAAAAUGUAUGUUAAAUUUGUCAUAUUGCUGCUUGCUUUAGUUAAAUGCAAUGCAUACAAACAGGAAACAUCAAUGCUGCCGGAGGGGUAUGUGGACGCCGCCCAGCGAUCAACACACACUAACAAUUGGGCGGUGCUGGUAGAUGCAUCGCGUUUUUGGUUUAAUUAUCGGCAUGUAGCCAAUGUGCUGUCCAUAUAUCGGUCGGUGAAGCGUCUGGGUAUUCCCGACUCACAGAUUAUCUUGAUGAUUGCUGAUGACAUGGCCUGCAAUGCACGCAAUCCACGUCCUGGUCAAGUGUACAACAAUGCCAAUCAGCAUAUCAAUGUCUAUGGCGACGAUGUUGAGGUAGACUAUCGUGGCUAUGAGGUAACCGUGGAGAACUUUGUGCGUUUGCUGACAGGACGCACACAGAAUGGCACAGCUCGCUCUAAGAAGCUGCUCUCAGACGCCGGCAGCAAUGUGCUUAUCUAUCUGACUGGUCACGGCGGCGACGGCUUUCUGAAGUUCCAAGAUUCCGAAGAGAUAACAAGUCAAGAGCUGGCCGACGGCAUACAGCAAAUGUGGGAGAAAAAGAGAUACAACGAACUUUUCUUCAUGGUCGACACUUGCCAGGCCGCAUCGCUAUAUGAGAAAUUCACAUCGCCCAAUGUGUUGGCCGUUGCCAGCAGCCUGGUGGGUGAGGAUUCGCUUUCGCAUCAUGUGGAUCCCUCAAUUGGUGUCUACAUGAUUGAUCGCUACACCUACUAUGCUUUGGAGUUUCUGGAGAAGGUACAGCCGUUUAGCAAGCGCACAAUUGGCGAAUUUUUACAAGUAUGUCCCAAGCGCGUAUGCAUAUCUACAGUGGGCGUACGCAAGGAUCUGUACCGACGUGAUCCCCAUAAGGUGCCCAUAACGGACUUCUUUGGUGCUAUACGCCCAACACGUGUAUCCACGGAUCGCAUCAACGUUACACUCGCCAACGAAGAAGACUUUAUCAAUGCCGCCAGAGGGGAACCAAAGAAGCCAUUUAAGAUUGUCAUGCAGCCGCAGUUCUCGGCUGACUUAUUUAAGUGAUGCGAUGAUGAACAAGUAUUCCAUUUGAUGACUGCAUUUAUGGACAAGAACAUAGACUCCCUCGAUGCUUUAAUGGGGCUCAGAGCAACCACAUUGGCGCAGGACGACUUUUACACUUCAACGUAUGGAAGGAUCUACAGUGUUAUUCCUUACAUUUUCGAGUUUUUCUUUUUUCUUUUUGU